UUGAAGCUCAUGGAUCUUUCUAUUAGGGAUUGUGAGGAGCUUGAUUUAUCCAAAGAUGAAAGCGGCAACAUCAUCUUGGAUUUCCAUGGACUUCAGAGUCUCCGAUCUGUGUUAUUCAAUGGAAUUCCCAAACUAGAAUCUCUCCCACAGUGGAUUCUACAACUCCGCAGUCUCGAACUUCUCCAAAUUAUUGAGUGCCCCAAUUUUAAGGCAUUAUCAGAGCAAAUCGAAAAAUGUGAGGAGUUGGAUAUAUCCAAAAACGAAAGCGGCAACAACUUGGAUUUCCAUGGAGGCCUUCAGAGUCUUCGCUCUGUGGAAAUCUGUUACCUUCCCAAACUAGAAUCUCUCCCAAAGUGGCUUCUACAAGCCUACAAUCUCAAUCGUCUCACAAUUUGGGUGUGCCACAAUUUGAAGGCUAUACCAGAGUAGAUCGAGGCCCUUCAAUCACUUCAAAUUCUCAACAUCGAGCGGUGCUCCUCAUUGACAUCAUUCCUUGAAGCAAUGCGAAGGCUCACAUCCCUUACUCACCUAUACAUCUCUGAGUGCGGAGAAUUGGAGAAGAGUUGCAAAAGACAAGCAGGCAAGGACUGGGACAAGAUCGCUCAUAUCCCAAACAUACAACUUAGAGGGCGGACCGUGCGCUAAUUUUCUUCACUGAAGGCUAUAUAGAUAUGGCGUAGAUUUUGGCAACGAUGACAUAAUGGCAGUUGAGGAUCACAAAGACCUCACUGACCACUAGUCCCAUGGCAGGAAAAACGUGGAUUUCUCUCUUGCUAAAGCAUGAGGAUAAUGGAAACACCUAGCUUUUCUAAGUUUGGGGUGUAUGCUUUGAAGUCCGAGAACAAUACUACUACAUGCUCUAGAGUCUUCUCAACUUGGACAUCACGCCCUAUGCCUAUAUGAUAAUUGCAGAAUACAUUUGGUCACCCAAAAUUGGAGGACAAGUGCCAAAAAGAUGUAGGCAAGGACUAGUACAAGAUAUCUCAUAUCCUGCACAUAAAGUUGAAAAAGGUGAUCCCUAGACCUAUCAAGCACCCGUCUCAACUUCCAAAGUGAAAUUACUAUGGUUCAAGUACCGGUCAAGCUCCAAGGGAGGAUAGAGAAGUGAUCUUAUAGUUAGCAUUUGACAACCAUUGACAUUCUUGGUUUGCUUCUUAGCCAUUAUGCAAAGGUCCUCAGGCCAGGCAGAAAUGGUGUGGAUUUUGGCAUUGAGGACACAAUGCCAAAUGAGGAUCACAAAGAACUCACUGACCACCAGUUAGAUCAUCUGAACAAGUUGAUGAAACAAGAAAGGGCGUUUCAAUUGGUUUACGGAGUAUUAUUGUUCGUCUGUGGGAUAUUUGCAAUUUAUACACACCAGUUGAGCGGAUCCCAACGACCAAACAUGUCGGGAUUGCUGAAAUUCAGUAACCCAAAGGUUAUCAAUGAAGUUUCAUGGUAUUGGAUUGAGCAAGAAAGCACCCUAUUGCUGAUAAAUGUUUAAUGGCCAUUCAGUUGGCCUAUUGGAGGAUAUCUAGGUUCCCAAGGGCCUUAUUACUGUGGUGUUGGAGCUGAUAAGUCAUCCGACCGAGACUUCAAGGCUUGCUUAUAUGCUGGUAUCAACAUUAAUGGUACCAAUGGAGUGAUGAUGUUGGGCCAAUGAGAACACCAAGUCGGACCAAGCAUGGGAAUUGAAGUAGGAGAUCAUCUAUGGUGUUAAAGAUACCUUCUUGAGGAUGCCAUACUAACUACAGGUUCACACCAUAGAAAUAACAUGGACUUGGUCAAGAAUUUUUGUUCAAUGAGGGACCUUUGAGAGUGUGUUCUUCAACUUUUCUGCAAUACAAAAAGCAUGAGAGAAGAGGGAGGCUUUGAAGUGAUAAAGAAGGCAAUUCGGAAUCUCUCACUUCACCAUGAGGAGCACAUUAGCGCCUAUGGAGAAGGUUUACGGGAAAGCAUGAAACAGCCAACUGACACAUUGUCUUUGGGAGUUGCCGAUUGUGGUUGUUCAAUCUGUGGGGGCCGUGACAAUGAGAAGCAAAGAAAAGACAAGUGUCCUGCCUCAAACAUGGACCCACGAUGACCUCAUUACUUGCUGAAACUACAAU